UGGAAAUGAUGAAAUAGAGAUAUUUGGGUUUUGAAUGUCAUGUGACUGGAAGUUUUAAAUAUGUAUGUUUAGUAAUUCUUCUAAGUUAAUAUUCUAUAGACACUUAGUACAGUGUGUGUGUGUGUGUGUGUGUGUGUGUGCGCGCGCUUGCUUGUGGUGGCUAUGGAAAGGGGGCACUGACUGGUGAUGCUGAUAUUGGAGUGCAUCUGAGGCUGUUGUAGACAUAACAUGGGUUGUUGAUUACAACAUUGCCGAUGAUUAUAACCCAAGAACAGCUCACCUAAGUAGCCCAGCACCCUAAAAUCUCUAACAGGUCCAUUAAACAUGGUCCCGUGAUCUGAUCCAA
ensembl:scaRNA